rnacentral:rRNA from 1 species
GAUGAACGCUAGCGGGAGGCCUAACACAUGCAAGCCGAGCGGUAGAGCUUCUUCGGAAACUUGAGAGCGGCGCACGGGUGCGUAACACGUGUGCAACCUACCUUUAUCUGGGGGACAGCCUUUCGAAAGGAAGAUUAAUACCCCAUAAUAUAAUGAUUGGCAUCAAUUAUUAUUGAAAACUACGGUGGAUAGAGAUGGGCACGCGCAAGAUUAGAUAGUUGGUGAGGUAACGGCUCACCAAGUCAAUGAUCUUUAGGGGUGCUGAGAGGGAGAUACCCCACACUUGUACUGCGACACAGACCAGACUGGUACGGGAGGGAGGAGUAAGGAACAUAGUGCGAGGGGGGAGGGCCGGAUCCAGCCAUCCCGCGUGAAGGAUGACGGUCCUAGGGAAUGUAAACUUCUUUUGUAGAGGGAUAAUCCAACCCUCGAGGGGGUAGCUGAAGGUACUGUACGAAUAAGCACCGGCUAACUCCGUG